UACGUAGGGCGCAAGCGUUAUCCGGAAUUAUUGGGCGUAAAGAGCUCGUAGGCGGCUUGUCGCGUCGAAUGUGAAAACUCGGGGCUCAACUCCGAGCUUGCAUUCGAUACGGGCAGGCUAGAGUUCGGUAGGGGAGACUGGAAUUCCUGGUGUAGCGGUGAAAUGCGCAGAUAUCAGGAGGAACACCGGUGGCGAAGGCGGGUCUCUGGGCCGAUACUGACGCUGAGGAGCGAAAGCGUGGGGAGCGAACAGG
rnacentral:rRNA from 1 species